rnacentral:tRNA from 1 species
GCCUUGUUAGCUCAGUAGGCAGCGCGUUAGUCUCAUAAUCUGAAGGUCGUGAGUUCGAUCCUCACUCGAGGCA